CACAGAGGCAGACCGAGACUGAAUUCUCCCUUUCUACGGGUGCUUGUAGUUGGACACAGCCUGUAAAAGCAAAUGAUUUAAUGAUUCAUUCUGGCAAGCAGGGAAGGAUGACUUCAGGUUUGAGCUUCCCACAUCACUUCCAGCAGCUCCCCCCGGAGAUCCAACACAUCAGUGGCCAAGAUGAUUGCACGUCGCAGAGCCAAGCGGUGCUGCCUUCUCUGCCUCUGGAGCAGGAGCACAAAGGAGGGUCCCUCUGUGGCACAUGGGAAUUCAGCAGCAAAACAGAGGCUGUGCAUCAACCUCAGGAGGACAAACUAAACCUCUCCUUUUUAUGUGGAGCCUUUCAGCUGCUACCUUCUCACAUAGUAAUUGGCACUGAAGAAUUGGCUGAGCAUCAGCACCAGUGGGCACAUAGAGCUUGUGACAGAAGACCAAGGCAAAUUGUGGAGACCAUCAGGUCUCCACCAUCAAGAAUGGGAGUCACUCAGCUGGCCUUUUUUCCUGCUCUGGCUGUAUCUCAACCAUUUGCCACAUAGCACAAACAAAUAUAGGGCCCUGACUGCCCAAAAAAUCCCAGUGUGUGGUACAUCAGUCGUCUCAACUUGGUACAUGUGGUCAGAACAUCAAAAUGCUACACUCUAGUGUAGCCAGCAUCACGCUAUCUUGCCAGCACCAAGCACCAAAAGCAGCUGGUCACAAAAAGGUUUGUGGCUGUCACCUGAGGCAACAUGGUACAUUCCUUUCUCAGGCACAUAACCUGGUAUUUGGAGCUCACUUCUUAAGAAAGAAAGACACUCAAAGAGCCUUCAUCAGUACAAAUAUUUUACACUAAAGGUAGUCAUACAUUUAACAUGUGUGCAUGAUUUCAACCCUGAGAAGUUUUAGGAUCUUGUUACAAAUUAUUAUUAGAGGUUUCAUAGAUGUCCUGUUUUCCUUUCCUUCCUUUCCUGCCAUGGCAGGCAGUGAAACCAUGUGACAGACAUGAGUCAAACCUAUCUAGCCAGGACCCUACUAGGGGUUUCCAAUGUUCACACAGAGCUUGACACCUCAACAUGUCAUUAUUCAGGCUCUUCUCCAUCUGGAAGAGUGAAUGGUCUGAAAAUGGAGUUUUCUUCU
rnacentral:lncRNA from 1 species